AUGGUUUUGAUCUUCACAAAGUUAAAAUUCCGAACAGUUUGGUUUUCAUGUAUCUGGACCAUUUGGAAAGCUAGAAACAAGCACAUUUGUCAAGGAAGGGGAGUUUUGGUAGAAGAUAUGGUUGAACAAUCAAAAUUGACUUAUUGGAAAUGGCUAAUUGCAAAAUUGCCUAAUUUUGGGUUAUUAUAUUGCUCAAUGGUUUUUAAAUCCUUUGGAAUGUUUGGGUUUAUCUUGGUGAAUGCUGUGCAGAUUUUGUUACUGAAUUUGACAGGAUUGUCUAGUUUGAGUUUAUUGGUGGGCGAGCGCGAAUCCAGUUUUAUUGAUCAUGGUUGGUUUGAAAAGGGAUAG